UACAGGGGGGGCAAGCGUUGUUCGGAAUUACUGGGCGUAAAGGGCUCGUAGGUGGCCGACUAAGUCAGACGUGAAAUCCCUCAGCUUAACUGGGGAACUGCGUCUGAUACUGGAUGGCUUGAGUUUGGGAGAGGGAUGCGGAAUUCCAGGUGUAGCGGUGAAAUGCGUAGAUAUCUGGAGGAACACCGGUGGCGAAGGCGGCAUCCUGGACCAACACUGACACUGAGGACGCAGAAGCAGGG
rnacentral:rRNA from 1 species